rnacentral:lncRNA from 1 species
UGGCAAUAUCUGGGUUCUAGCUUAUGGCAGUUUUCUCUCACUUGCAUAUGGACAUAAUGGAAUGGUGUUUAGAUAUGCAUGUCAUAAUAUGGUAGAAGUUGAUAAGGUGGUGGGGAUGAAUUGUGAGUGCGACAAUCUGAUGUGUUAGAUUGUGGAAGCUGAGGAAGAAACUGACUGUUUCUACUUUAGUAUAUAAAAUCAGCUUUCCACCAUGCUGAAUGGAAACAAACAUGGCCUACAAGAGAGAGUUUGGUUGGGAGUUCUUAGCCUAUUAUUUGGUUGGUGUAUUUGGGAGUGAAAAUUUAUAAUAAAUUAUUAAAACACGAUGAACGCCAGAGAUGUAUCUAUGCUUCACUUAAAGAGCAAUUCACUCCUAAUUACAAGGCUCCCCCUAGGUUUAAAAUGGGUUUAGCUCUCAAAUCCCCUUGCAUCCUCAUCCCACUCUAAAAUCUUAUGCCCGUGAACAAAGCAAUUAGGAGAUUUAGAGGACUUAGCCAGUCUUAGUGGAGUUUUCAUCAAAAGUUUUCAUAAUCAUUAAAUAAUAUGCCACAUCAGCAAUUUUGCUGACGUGGUAAAGUCAUUAUAAGGAGAGAGGAGAUGGAGUUUCAUGAUAUGUGAGAGGAGUUUUAUCACCAUGAAAAACAGCAGUCACAGUUAUCAUCAGAUUUGGUAACUGUGCCAUAAAACUGUGCACUGAAAUUGACCUAAACUCUCGUUAGUUUCCUCCAACCACACACACCACAGAGUACAACAUCACUUUAAAGAAGUUUAGGCAACAAAAGCUUAUUUGCAGAUAUCCAGUAGCAGAAAUGGGCAUACAACUAUUUAUGGCGGGUUCUGAUCUCGACGCUUCUACUCUCAUGGAGUUA